GCUCCCUUAGCUCAGUCGGCAGAGCGUCUCCAUGGUAAGGAGAAGGUCGACAGUUCGAUUCUGACAGGGAGCUCCA
rnacentral:tRNA from 1 species